rnacentral:rRNA from 1 species
GUGAGGAAUAUUGGUCAAUGGGCGAGAGCCUGAACCAGCCAAGUCGCGUGAAGGAUGAAGGUUUUAUGAAUUGUAAACUUCUUUUGCAGGGGAAUAAAGUACGGUACGUGUACCGUUUUGUAUGUACUCUGCGAAUAAGGAUCGGCUAACUCCGUGCCAGCAGCCGCGGUAAUACGGAGGAUCCGAGCGUUAUCCGGAUUUAUUGGGUUUAAAGGGUGCGUAGGUGGUUUGAUAAGUCAGCGGUGAAAGUUUGCAGCUUAACUGUAAAAAUGCCGUUGAAACUGUCGGACUUGAGUGUAAAUGAGGUAGGCGGAAUGCGUGGUGUAGCGGUGAAAUGCAUAGAUAUCACGCAGAACUCCGAUUGCGAAGGCAGCUUACUAAGCUACAACUGACACUGAAGCACGAAAGCGUGGGGAUCAAACAGGAUUAGAAACCCGAGUAGUCC